UACAUGGGGCAAAUCUGAAGGACUAAGCAGUUUUUUGCUAUCUUACUUUUCUUCAAACUUGUCUUUGUUCUAGAAAGUGCUUAUUACCAAAGAUCAGUGCUGAAUGAUUUGAGCUUGAGCAGGCGCCACCUUUUCCAAAUGACGCAUCUCAGGAGAGAAGAAAGGGAAUCCAUGUUUUCGAAGUUUUUGCUUUUAUGAAGCAUUUCAACAACCUCUUGAGAUUCCCUUCUUUUAGUUUUUAGUUUUCUGUCCUCUGUAUAAGUGACUGUGGAAAUUACAACCACACGCCCCGAUAGGCCUCAGGGAAGGCUAGAACGAGUAUAGCAGUAACCAUCUAGUGCAGCCAGCCAGUCCGAGGUCCUGAGGGUGUCCAUGUUCACAAGAACGGCAGAAGCCCCUGCUGGAGCCAUUGAGCAGCCGGGCUUGGGUGGUGCCUGCUCAGCCUUCCCCACAUGGAGGAGUUGAAACAGCCAUCCUUGCAGCCCCGACUGAGACUGAAGCCCGUGAGUGGUGUCCCUCAGAGUUGUACGGGCAUAGCGACCUCUGUCCCUUUCCACUGAGUGCCCUUGGGCAAAUCACCACUCCUUAAUUUCCUCACAUGAAUAAAAAAUGAAGCAUUUGAAUUAUGA